UACGUAGGGGGCAAGCGUUGUCCGGAAUCAUUGGGCGUAAAGAGCGUGUAGGCGGCCCGGUAAGUCCGCUGUGAAAGUCCAGGGCUCAACCCUGGGAUGCCGGUGGAUACUGUCGGGCUCGAGUGCGGAAGAGGCGAGUGGAAUUCCUGGUGUAGCGGUGAAAUGCGCAGAUAUCAGGAGGAACACCUAUUGCGAAGGCAGCUCGCUGGGACGUAACUGACGCUGAGACGCGAAAGCGUGGGGAGCAAACAGG
rnacentral:rRNA from 1 species